UUCGGAGGAUGCGAGCGUUAUCCGGAUUUAUUGGGUUUAAAGGGUGCGUAGGCGGACGCUUAAGUCAGCGGUAAAAUUGCGGGGCUCAACCUCGUCGAGCCGUUGAAACUGGGUGCCUUGAGUGGGCGAGAAGUACGCGGAAUGCGUGGUGUAGCGGUGAAAUGCAUAGAUAUCACGCAGAACUCCGAUUGCGAAGGCAGCGUACCGGCGCCCUACUGACGCUGAAGCACGAAGGCGUGGGUAUCGAACAGG
rnacentral:rRNA from 1 species